UAAGUUGGAAGGACUCUUAAAAUUAUCUGAUCAAAUCCCUUACCUAAAAAUCCCCUAUAUUUGAUUUUUAACAUGAGACUGUCCAGCUUCUCCUGUAUACCUUGAGUGACAAGGAGUUAUUGCUUCCAAGGCAGCCAAGCAUAAUAGCCUCCAGUUCCAUCCAUGUUGAAGCAAAUGGCUGCAUGAUGGAAGAUGGCUGCUGCUGCUGCUGUCAUCCAUGAAUACUGGAGUAGAUAGCCUCUGAAGGCUGGAUUACCAGGCAUCCUGGAAGAGCCAAGCUUCCAACAACAGGUGGACUGUGGGUCAGCAGAGCCAGCUAUAUAGAGCAGAAGGCCAGAGUUCAGCUGAGGCCAGGUCCAUGGGAUCAAGUCUGGCCAUUGCUGUGUGUUCCAGUGUCUUCCUGCCUGGACAGAGCCCACCAUUGGUUUCCCACAGGGGCCCUUCCUCAAGGAAGGAAGCUGAGCAUAUGAAGAAGGAUAUUUAACACCCUGAUUUUCUUACCUCCAGAAGGCCUCUUCUUGUUUGUGCAGAAUCUUCUCCCCAUAAAUAAAGAGUGUCCAGGUGAAGAGUGUUUGGUGAAUAAGUGCUAAAUGUAAGGAUGUGCAGUGACUAGUUUGGCAUCUUGUUCUUCCAGUGAAUCUAGCAGAAAGCCACAUAGAACGAGCUUUGGCAGUGUUAUCAGAUACACCUUAUUUCUCAGGAAAAAACUUUCUCCGAAAGCUCUCUCAGUAGCUUAACUCCACCACAUGUCCAGCAACACCAGGGGCCUCUGCUCAUUGCAGUCUCUCAGAAAGCUGCCACCAUUUGAAUGUUGUUGGUCACUGUUCCAGAGGGGAAGAGAAACCCCAAGGGGUCUGAUACCAGCAAUUCAAUGCUCUUGCUCAGAAGUGGCAUGUCAUCUCCAUUCAUAACUCAUUGAUCGGAACAAGUCAUUUGGCCCCAACCAACCACAAGGGAGCCACAAGAGUACAGUUUUUCCUAAAGUAUUUGAUGAACAACAACAACAAAAAAGUAUUUGGUGAACAACAUUAAUAACCGCUAUACAUUUCCUGCUGCCUAGUCUGUGCCAAGCCUUGAGCCUAAUGAAAUGGAGACUCAAGAAGGUCAGGUAACUUAGUUACUACACCAUGCAGGAUGAUUUCCAGUGAUCCAGAAGCAUGGGACAGGCUGCUGAAUGAGAGAAUAUAUUUAAGAGGGCUAACCCUGGUACUAAAAAUAAGUGCUGAGUAAAUGUUUUUUUCCCCCAGUCUCUGGAGGUAUUCAAGAACAGGCUGUAUGGUAACUUAUUAGGGUUGCCAGAGAGGAUAGUUGAGUACUAGAUGGUAGUAACACUACCAGCUGUGCACUGUGCACAGCUUUCCAACCAUGAGAGUCUAACUACACUUUUCCUAGAAUAAUUAUUUCCCUUCUUGUCAGUAAUAUUGUAAAAUAAUUAUCAAUUUUAUCCAUCCCCUACCUUCCUACAAUAGCACUGUUAGCUCUAUGGAGGGAAAACAAAGGGCCUAGAAGGGAUAUGGGUAAAUUAUGGGUGGACAAACCACCAAUCAAUUACUACUGACCAAGUGUCCAUGAUUUUUAAAGCAUCCUGUCCUGUGCUCUAAGUCAGUUGUGCACAGCAGGAAAAGAGCAUGAGAACAGGGCUUAUAGCUAGCACUCAGUCCUGGCUUUGUGAUUACCUUACUGUGUGCCUUGAGCAAGUUUCUUCCCAAGUCUUGGUUUCAUCUCUGUACAAUGAGGAGACAGGAAUAUACUUCCAAAGUCCAAUUCAGCUUGAAUAACUGAUAUAAACAGUGCACAGAGUUCAACAUCAAACCUCAGAAGUAGGAAGACUCACCUUUCUUCUAAGAAGCCAAUGGGGCCACAGGACCCUGUAAGCUCAAAAGGACUUUAGAUGCUGUAUUACCUAUAGCUGCACUUUGCAAUAUGGUAGUCACUAACCAUAUGUGGCAACUGAACUUCUGGAGUGUGACAACUCCAAAAUGAGAUAUACUUUAAGUAGAAAAUACACACUGAAUGUCUGUAUAUAGUAUGGAGAAAGGGAAUGUAAAACAUUUUUAUAUUAGGUUAAUUAAAGUGUUUUUUAAAAUAUUUUAUUUAUUUAUUCAUGAGAGACACACAGAGAGAGACAGAGACACAGAGGGAGAAGCAGGGGUCACGCAGGGAGCCCAAUGAGUGACUUGAUCCUGGGACUCCAGGAUCAUGACCUGGGCCGAAGGCAGCAUUAAACCACUGAGCCAUCCAGGGAUCCCCAGGUUAAUUAAAGUGUUAUUCAUGUCAUCUGUUUAUUUUUCUUUUUAAUAUGAAAAGUUAAAUUACAUGGUGGUUCACAUUAUAUUUCUAUUGGACAGUGCUUAUAUAGGGGAAACUGAAGCCCAGAAAAGGUAAAUGACUUGCCCAAAGAGCUGGGACUAUAACCUGGGCCACUCAACAGUUCUCAUUCAAGGAUCUUUCUAUCCUAACUGCCUAUGGUAGCCAGUCUCCAAGAUGGUCCCUAAUGAUCUUCACUUCCCAUCAUCCUGAGUAGCCCUUCCACAUUGUCUAGUUCAUCUGCUUGGAAACUGUAGAAAUGACUGUACAACUUCCAAGGCUGGGUCAUAAGACCUUGUGGCUUCCACCUUGUCUCUUUCUGGCAUCACUUGUUUUGAGGGAACAAAUAGCUCUAUGGAGUGGCCCACAUGGUGAGGAAUGUAGGCCCCAUCAACAACCAGUAUCAAUGAAGUAGAAUCAACCAUCUUGGAAACCGAUCUUCCAUUCCCAAACCUUCAGAUAACAGCUGAUCCAACUGACAUCUUGACUACACCUCAUGAGAGAUCUCAACCCAGAAUCACCCAGGUAAGCUUCCCAAAUUCCUGACCCACAGAAUAUGUAUGAGAUAAUGUUUAUUGUUCUAAGCUAUUAAGUUGUGGGGUGAUU